GACGAACCGAGCGAACGUUGUUCGGAAUCACUGGGCUUAAAGGGCGCGUAGGCGGGUGCUCAAGUCUGUGGUGAAAUCCUCCGGCUCAACCGGAGAACUGCCAUGGAUACUGGGUGUCUCGAGGGUGGUAGGGGUAUGCGGAACUAUCGGUGGAGCGGUGAAAUGCGUUGAUAUCGAUAGGAACUCCGGUGGCGAAGGCGGCAUACUGGACCACUUCUGACGCUGAGGCGCGAAAGCCAGGGGAGCAAACGGG
rnacentral:ncRNA from 2 species